rnacentral:rRNA from 1 species
GAUGAACGCUGGCGGCGUGCCUAAUACAUGCAAGUCGAGCGAACGGACGAGAAGCUCGCUUCUCUGAUGUUAGCGGCGGACGGGUGAGUAACACGUGGAUAACCUACCUAUAAGACUGGGAUAACUUCGGGAAACCGGAGCUAACACCGGAUAAUAUUUUGAACCGCAUGGUUCAAAAGUGAAAGACGGUCUUGCUGUCACUUAUAGAUGGAUCCGCGCUGCAUUAGCUAGUUGGUAAGGUAACGGCUUACCAAGGCAACGAUGCAUAGCCGACCUGAGAGGAUGAUCGGACACACUGGAACUGAGACACGGUCCAGACUCCUACGGGAGGCAGCAGUAGGGAAUCUUCCGCAAUGGGCGAAAGCCUGACGGAGCAACGCCGCGUGAGUGAUGAAGGUCUUCGGAUCGUAAAACUCUGUUAUUAGGGAAGAACAUAUGUGUAAGUAACUGUGCACAUCUUGACGGUACCUAAUCAGAAAGCCACGGCUAACUACGUG